CCUACGGGAGGCAGCAGUGGGGAAUCUUGCGCAAUGGGCGAAAGCCUGACGCAGCCAUGCCGCGUGAAUGAUGAAGGUCUUAGGAUUGUAAAAUUCUUUCACCGGGGACGAUAAUGACGGUACCCGGAGAAGAAGCCCCGGCUAACUUCGUGCCAGCAGCCGCGGUAAUACGAAGGGGGCUAGCGUUGCUCGGAAUUACUGGGCGUAAAGGGAGCGUAGGCGGAUAGUUUAGUCAGAGAUGAAAGCCCAGGGCUCAACCUUGGAAUUGCCUUUGAUACUGGCUAUCUUGAGUACGGAAGAGGUAUGUGGAACUCCGAGUGUAGAGGUGAAAUUCGUAGAUAUUCGGAAGAACACCAGUGGCGAAGGCGACAUACUGGUCCGUUACUGACGCUGAGGCUCGAAAGCGUGGGGAGCAAACAGGAUUAGAUACCCUGGUAGUCCACGCUGUAAACGAUGAGUGCUAGUUGUCGGCAUGCAUGCAUGUCGGUGACGCAGACUAACGACAUAAGUACGACUCCGCCGUCGGGAGGUACGGUCGGCGAAGAAGUUAAAACGUUAAACGUUAAGUUAAGUUAGUUACGGCGUGAGACGUUGCGACGGACGACGACGAGGGAGGAGG
rnacentral:rRNA from 1 species